GCUUCCAUAUUCAAGAUCACAUCAUGGUCAAAGUGGCUGGUGGAUCUCCAGUUAUCACAUCCUUGCUCUUAGCAGAAGAAAAAUGGGACAGUGGAAGAGCAGAGAGUACCCAUCUGAGUCAUCCAAAUGUAUGGAAACAACGGUGUGUCCUCUCGUCGAUGGCAUUUUCGAUUUGACGGAAAAUGGUAACACAUGCAGAAUUCUCUGCCCAGCGCCGUAGUGACUAUAGGUUUUUGUCCCAUUUUUGCCUCCAGAAGAUUUAAAAAAGCUGAGAAAAAACAUAUGCCUGUUGUAGCCAGCCUUCAAGAGGCUCCCCAGUGAUCCCCGCCCCCUGGCUUUCAUGCCCUUACGGGAUCGCCUCCCUCACUUUGAAGGGCUCGCUUGUGUGGUUAAUAGGACAUCUCAGAAAUGAUAGAGCAUGGCUUCAGCAGCGAGGUCAUUCAAAUGUUGCUUAACUGUCUUAGAUCACCUAUGUUUUCCUAUAGCCUGCUGUUUUAUGCAAUAAUGUCUUGUGGGUCUCUUUCCAUGGUAAUAAAUAGAGACCAUCACAGGCAAUGAAGGCAAUGUGUUCCUUUGUAUGUAUCCACCAUGUUUUUCUUGUCUAAUCCCCUAUUAGUGGACUUUUCAGUGACUUCUGACAUUACUGUAAAGGAUGCAGCAAUAAACAUUCUGUGUAAUUGCUAGGA